CAUCUCUUUUCUCACUAGUGCUUUAUUUGAUUCUGACAGCCGACUCCAAAGGAAGCCUUUUAGAUUCUUUCUCAUAAGUUCCAUGGAAAGGGGCCUGGAAAAAUGAAACAAGAACAGCGCAUGAAGCAAUUCCAUGAAGUGUUGAAGUUGAAGCAGAUGAAGAGUUCGGAUACGCCAUCAUUGUCUGUGGAGCGGAUGAGAGAAGCUCAGGCUCAAUUAAAGACUCCAUAUCUUUUCCUUAGUGGUCAUGUCAAACCAGAAGGAAUGAAAAAAAUUACAAGUGGAAAGUAGUCAAUUGCCCUCGUCAAACAUCUUCAGUGGAGUGCGAUUUUUAUAUUAUAAUGAUGAUGAAGGACUAUUUCUUGAAUGAGACACUCAUGCGAUGGCUAACUAGUAAUUGUGGUGGGAAGAAUACAUAUACACUUGGAAAAAUUAAUGAAACUCGAAAUGAAGCCAAGCUUCUUGAGCGGAUGAGUCAUAGCUAGAGUAACUUUUGAAAUCAGAAUUAAAAAAAUAUACUAAUUGUAGUUUUUAGUUAGCAGUUACAUAGUUAUUCAAAGUGUACAUUUUGAUCUUGUAAUUUUUAGAUUUGGAACAUACUGAGUUCUAUUGAUUUUGUCUGCCUAUUGAUUUUGUCUGAACUAUG